ensembl:lncRNA
GCGGAAUGUUCUUUGCGUAUUUUGCAGUCAGAUGUUUUUAAAAAGUGAGCUCUGUACUCUGCGAGCCAGAAGUCUUACGCAAAACGGACACGUAGGAAAAAACAACGAUACGUUUUGGAAUUUACUGAAAGCCAUUUUUGUUGCCUGGGGAAUUCUAAAGGACUAUAUGCUAUACUAUACUAGUAUGGUUACAGUAUGUAAGACACCACCCUAAUGUAUUCAUAGGCAUGGGACUUUAUGAGAGUUUGAAAAGUUAGUUUUUUUUCAAAAUGCAGAAUUGAGGUAUUUGAUGAUAUUGCAUUGGUGGCUACUAGAAACAAUAUAAGGCAAAUAUUUGAAAUUAUGAGCCCAGUAAUGUGACAUUUCAUAUAUUAGUCAUACAUGAAUUAUUGUGUUGAAUUCUACUUCUUCUUCCUCUGAUUAUUAU